GGGAUGCUUUCCAGUGGCCCAUGUAGCAGAAAAAGGAACUCUUUGUUGAUACUAAAGAUGUUUAUUUCUUUCCCUUGCUGCAGAAGAUACUAAACCAAAAAAAUGACAAAGCAUGUGGCCCAGCCCUCACCUAAUCUGCUCAGAAAUGGGCUUAGGACCUAAGCUAGUCCAGUUACACUGGAAGUCCAGACUGUGUUGGGGUGGCUGGGUGUUCCAUGUUGGAGAUAAACAAGGGAAUAUGUUGUUCUACUUCAGAAUUUUUCGGAGAAGAGGUGGGAUGAGGGGAAGUGGCUCAGAGAUCAAAACUGAGCCCAGAAAUGACAGCCAAAUGAGGAUCCAGGAUGGCUCCUCAGCACGUCUGCAUUUCAGCUGGGAUGAAGAUGGUGAGGGGAAAGGGAGAGAUGGCCAGGACUGAUGACACAUACCUAACUUCAAGGAGCAGGAGGCCAGGCUUACAGUGGAGUGUAAAUAAAUGGCUGUGAUCACUACCACAGAAGACAAUCCUAUUUCAAGAUGGCCUGGAAGUUGCACAAAUCCAUUUUUGGUGAAUGGAUUUGUCAGACUCUAGACAUGUGGAAACUCCUUGGCGUAAAGGAAGCUGACUUGCAUUUUCACCUGUGCACAUUGGACUCCACCUGAGAGAUACCUUCGACUGCUUUCUUUGAAGCUAGAAAUGUCCCCACAGCUAUGUUUCUGGGCAAUAAACUGUAAGCAGAAGUA